rnacentral:lncRNA from 1 species
GGGCGUGGGGGGUGGGGGAGCAGCUUGCUACUGGGAGGGGUCUGAGAAGAGAUUCUGGAAGAUGUUUGGGGAGUCGUCCCUGUGGCUGUUCGGAGACUUGGCACUAGCUCCAUGGCCAUGAAAGAAGGUGGGUGAGGGGAGGGCGAGAUGAGCUGGAAAUACAGAAAACCAAGAGGCCUCUCUCCAGCAGAAGCGGACUCUACAGCUGCCGGGGAAAAAAAUAACAGAACAAAGCCCUCCAACAUGUUCGUCACCCUGGGGUUUGCUGUUAUUCCAUAGCACACAUGAAACGGGAGAUUGAGGACUAACAACUAGAGAGAAGGCAGCUGGCGGUUUAAAAAUGAAACUCUUCUGCCGCUGGUGAUAAAAUAUCAUCUUCCAAAGUUUCCCCUCUGGGGAAUGAAGGCUUUGGAUAAGACGCUCUCUUUAGUUUCCUUCCAGUUCUGACAUUCCAUGAUGCACAUCUGUCAAUUGGACCUUCAUCAGCUCUUCCUGGAAACCAGAAGUUGGUACUGAUGCUCUCAGAGGACUGUGAUUUUAUUCCAAGAUUAUUUCUUUUGCUCUUUAAAGAACCAGGAACCUGCCACUCCUCCCACCCCACCAAUGCAGAACCUCUAAGCACUGGACCUGGACCAAUCAGGGCUCUGCUACUUGUGACUUGUGUGACCCUAGAAUCUUCAGAACAGAACCAAUUCCACCUCUACAAGUCAUAUUUUUUCUCAUUUAAAUCUUUAAUACCCUUUGAAGACAUUAAAAGUAGUAAAGGAAUAUCUUCUUUAAUUAGAUCAUCAUAAAUAUAGUUCCUUCUAAAUGUUUAAGCAAUUUUAUCUUUCUAUAUGCCUCCAUACUUGUGCUUGUAUUUGAAAAUUUAUACAUGGCUCUGGUCUUUGAUCAGAAAUGCUUAAAAAUCCUUUAUUUCAUUAAAGACCUUUUUCUCUUUGUAGGACUAUAUGCAAUUAUUCUUAGUUGUUAAGUCCCAUAUCUUUUGUUUGUGGAAAAUUAUAUUCCAAUAUCUCCUCUCUUUUGUGGUCAAAGCUAAUAGAUCUUGUAUAAUCCUGAUUGUGAUACUUGGAAUUCUU